rnacentral:rRNA from 1 species
AAUAGAUACCCGGGUAGUCCACCCCGUAAACGUUGGGAACUAGUUGUGGGGUCCAUUCCACGGAUUCCGUGACGCAGCUAACGCAUUAAGUUCCCCGCCUGGGGAGUACGGCCGCAAGGCUAAAACUCAAAGGAAUUGACGGGGACCCGCACAAGCGGCGGAGCAUGCGGAUUAAUUCGAUGCAACGCGAAGAACCUUACCAAGGCUUGACAUACACGAGAACACCCUGGAAACAGGGGACUCUUUGGACACUCGUGAACAGGUGGUGCAUGGUUGUCGUCAGCUCGUGUCGUGAGAUGUUGGGUUAAGUCCCGCAACGAGCGCAACCCUCGUUCUAUGUUGCCAGCACGUAAUGGUGGGAACUCAUGGGAUACUGCCGGGGUCAACUCGGAGGAAGGUGGGGAUGACGUCAAAUCAUCAUGCCCCUUAUGUCUUGGGCUUCACGCAUGCUACAAUGGCCGGUACAAAGGGCUGCAAUACCGUGAGGUGGAGCGAAUCCCGAAAAAGCCGGUCCCAGUUCGGAUUGAGGUCUGCAACUCGACCUCA